rnacentral:rRNA from 1 species
GAUGAACGCUGGCGGCGUGCCUAACACAUGCAAGUCGAGCGGAAAUAUUCAGAAGUAUACGUACGGAUGGAUAUUUUAGCGGCGGACGGGUGAGUAACACGUGAGCAACCUACCUUUUGCUGGGGAAUAACAUCGGGAAAUCGGUGCUAAUACCGCAUGACAUUAGAGCUUCGCAUGGAGCUUUAAUCAAAGGAGUAAUCCGCUUUAGGAUGGGCCCGCGUCUGAUUAGCUAGUUGGUGAGGUAGAGGCUCACCAAGGCGACGAUCAGUAGCCGAUCUGAGAGGAUGACCGGCCACACUGGAACUGAGACACGGUCCAGACUCCUACGGGAGGCAGCAGUGGGGAAUAUUGCACAAUGGGGGAAACCCUGAUGCAGCAACGCCGCGUGGAGGAAGAAGGUUUUCGGAUUGUAAACUCCUGUCUUUUGGGACGAUAAUGACGGUACCAAAAGAGGAAGCCACGGCUAACUACGUG